CCUCUGGAGGUUAAAGAAGCUGACUGCCAGCACUUCGACGCCGGAGUGUUUUACCUGCUUGGAAUUGUUUACUCCUCGAGACGAUUUGGAUUCUCCAGAGUGGCUUCCAUCCUGGCCUUUUGGUUAAAGCCCUCCUCGUGACGCCGUGGACGGUACCCACUGGUUGCCCGAGUCCCGUUUUCACCUCUCCCAUCAGAUCUCAAGAUUCUCAGUUGACAUUGGCUGGCAGUCGGACCUCACCUCCACCUCCGUCAAGUCAUCACUUUCCUGCCCGCCCUCCACCGCAGCCUCCUUGCCUAGGAUCCCGCUCGUUUAUGGAAGCCGGAUCCGUUGACUUCAGCCUGGAACCCACAGACUACCUCCCUGAUUGUGAUCAUUCUUUCCCAAACUCCACCCCAGGAUCCCCACCAUAUCACAUUACUUUGUUUUCUUCAA